UCCUACGGGAGGCAGCAGUUAGGAAUAUUCGGCAAUGGGGGAAACCCUGACCGAGCAAUGCCGCGUGUGAGAUGAAGGCCCUAUGGGUUGUAAAUCACUUUUAUUUGGGAAGAACUGUAAGUAGAGGAAAUGAUACUUACUUGACGGUACCUUUUGAAUAAGCCCCGGCUAACUACGUGCCAGCAGCCGCGGUAAUACGUAGGGGGCGAGCGUUAUCCGGAUUUAUUGGGUGUAAAGGGAGCGUAGACGGUAUGGCAAGUCUGAAGUGAAAGCCCCGGGCUCAACCUGGGAAUUGCUUUGGAAAC
rnacentral:rRNA from 1 species